ACUAGAGUCGAACAGUGUGCCGCUCAGCAGAGAGGUCCCCAAGGUCCUGCACACCGUGUGCAGGCCCUAGGGAUCAUUAGUAUUUAGCCCGGAAAGAUGCCAACACCUAUCUUCUAUUUUGUUGGAGUUACCAGUUAACAUAAUACUCAUAGUAAUCAUGCUCCAAAAAAUUACUAUAAUCUCCCUUUUCCAAUGCAGUCAUCAUCAUAUAUGCACACUUCAUACUUGUGUCAUUUUUUAAGAUCAGCAGUAGCACAAUGAUACACAGGGUACCUUCAUAACAUGACAUUAGAAGUUGAUGGCUGGCACCACCGGCUAGGAAGCACAACAUCCUUAGUGGUAAUUGGAUGAAAAACAUCACAGAAACCAAAGGCUACUAUGAACCACCGUGCGCUAGAGAUGUCAUACCGUCAUGCCAUAUUGUACAGACCGCAUAACCAUUUCCAAACUCGUUUAUCUCAUCUUUGUGUCUAACCAUCCUUAGAAGAUGGUCUAUCAUGCACUAGACUUGAUCUUACACUAAGUACUAGGACGAUCUCAUCUGCGGCACUCAACAGGAACAGGCACUUGUGAUAUAUCCAAUUCCCACAUCUCAUAUUCUCUUUUUCCACGUCCUCUCCAUUAUGUGAUUGGAAGGCAAUUAACGCGUCAAAAUUUAAUGAUGUCAUAAGUUUUAAAGG
rnacentral:lncRNA from 7 species